AAGGAAGGAAGGAAGAAAGGAAGGAAGGAAGGAAGAAAGGAAAUUCUAAGUAGGCAAGCUGCAGGAAUCCUCAACUCUGGCAGGUUUCAUUUCGUUUGGUGUUCCAACAGUGAGUAAUGGCAGUCAGCAAGCAGAAGUUGUGGCAAGUAGUGCUUUCUAGCAUGAUAAUCCUGGGCAGACUUUCUUGUAGUUUCCCUGAAAGCUGAAGGAAGGGUCAGUUACAGCUCAGCUGGGAUCAUCUUGAGCUUUGGCCCUGUAGACCUGAUAGGACUUGGAAACUCUCCCCUUUUUGGCUCCUUAACAGGGUUGUGUUAGCUCCUUGCUCUCUUCUACUUUUCUUCCUACUCUGGCUAUUGAACAUUUCAGUUGUUAGUGGUGUUUGUCAAUAAUUAAAAGUCUGCCACUUUCCAAUAACAUUUGGGGAUGACAUUCAGGCAGAAUCAACAGGAAGGUCUGGGCCUAGUAUCAGCCUUGCUGGUUGCUUCAAAUCAACUACAUGCACUGCGGAUAGGUGGGCCUGAGAAUUCUAAAAGGUCAUUUCUUCAGCAAUGAAGUGGAGAGUUGUAGGCCUUCUAUUGCUUGCUACUCUGGGGCUGGGGCCCAGAUCAUGAGUAACUGAAGGUUCUUAGGGAUUCCAGGCUUAGGUGCCAGUUCCUGGGAAUACAUCAUGAGUUUCUAGACAUCUGCAAGUAUUUUUGGUUUUGUUUAAAUUGAAGCCACUUGGCAAACACUACAAAAAUGAGCCAUCUCAAUUCUUUUUUAACCUCUAUCUGGAAGCAGCAUCUCUCCAAGUUGCCCAUGCUAGCUUGAACUCUUCCUGCCUCAGAUCCUCGAGUAGAUGGUAUUAAACAUCUGUUUGCCCAGUUGUGAGUGCCCAAAUAGAAUGGUGGCAAUGUAGUCUGCUUGCAGGCUUGAACAAUGGCAGGGUGACUGUGUGAGGGAGAGCAGGAGGAUGGUGACCAGACUAGGGGACUGACUGAAGUGAGGUCUACUUUGAAGAGAGUAGAAUCAAUACCUCCCUCACAGACAUGUCCACAGGCCAAUCUCAUGGAGGUAACUUCUCAACAGACAUUCCCUCUUUCAUGACAUGUCUAGAUUUGUAUCAAAUUUACAAAACCUUAAGUUCUUUCGAAGUUUUCUGGUGUGUAAUGCAUGCCAUUUGUGAGGACAAACAGUCCAGAUAGGCCUGUGUACAGGGUGGGGAAGUUAGCAUGAACUAUUGUGCACAUAAUUUGCAGCUUUAUUGUCUCUGUUAUGCUUUUUUGAAAGGCUGUGAAAAUCAGGGCUGUUAAAGUUUGUUUUUUUGCUAUGUACUGUAAUGCUAAAUACUGACCUUCAAGGCCUGGUUGCUGCCAAGGACAAGAGAAUCUGCACAUAGACACAAGUGAUGCUAUGUAACCUUGCCUCUCGAGUUAUCCUUGACUGGUGAAUAAAGAUGCUUACAGCCUAUGGCUGGGAAGAUUUCAGAUAGGCAGAGCUUGGGUUCCCAUGGUUGGGGUCUGGAGAGAGACCAAGAGCAGAGAAGGAAGAAAGUGAGAGAGGAGAAGUCUUCAUGGAGUAGGUAAGUCAUGAAAUCUCAUUAAUGCUUACUGCAUUAAUGACUUAUAAUAAAUAUAAAGGUUAUCUAUUUUUUAAUUGGGAACUGAAUGAUCAAAGGCAGAGUAGAAACACCCAAUUUGAGAUUAAAUAUCUACUACAACAGAGGGCCAUACAAAUAAAGACAGUGUGGUCUUAGUCUAAGGGUUGUAUCAUGGUGCAGCUAUGGUGUCAGGUUACAGUGGUCAGUUGCCAGCAGCUAAGGAUUUCUAGAUGAUACUACCAUAGAGAAGGAAACUUCCCUAGUGAAGACUAGCUCUAUGUUUUGGUCUUAUUAAUGGCCUUCCCUCCAUAGUGAGCACAAAGUCAAACUUUCAAACUUUCCCCUUCUGCCAGCUUUUGUUCCAUCUCAGCCCACACUACUGAACAAACCUUGGAGAAGUGUUCACUGUUUCUGAUGUCACAAAGCACAGGAGAAUGUUGCAGUUGACUCUAGAGCCAGGCCUGUCUGCUUACAUAACUUGAAAAGUGGUGUUUGAAUCAAUCAUAGCUGCUUUUAUCAACCAGUCACAGCCUUGCCUUUUAGUAUUUUGUAGUCAUUAGGACUUGUACUUGGGACCAAUUAUGGCCCUGUAUUAUACUCUAGUCUGAGGUGAAAUGAUUCAUAGGGUUAAUAAUCACUAAAUAUCUGGUACAAAUUGUUUCAAACAUGUGUCUUAAGUAUCCAGGUCUGUUGAAAUCUUUAUGAAUAGCUGCAAAGGAUGAAGAGGAAUGAGCUUGAUGUUGUGAAAACCAGGGUAAUAAAGCUGAAACACGGCAACAGUGUGUGGUCUUUCCUCAGAGUGCCUACCUGCUGGAGUAGAAGACCUCAAUGAUCACAGAUUUCUGCUUUUAAUGCUAUGGAGACACCAGGGCACUGUGGAGAUGAUAAAGGAAUAAUGAUGACAUGGCUAAUCCUGAGAUUCACAAGAGAAAAAAUAGUUUCACAACUUUGAACCAGAUUUGAAGCAAGGUUUAAUUAAAUAUUGACCAAGAUAGUCUUCGGUCAGGUCCACUCCCUGGAA